rnacentral:rRNA from 1 species
UACAUGGGGUGCAAACGUUGCUCGGAAUCAUUGGGCGUAAAGCGCGCGUAGGCGGUUACUUAUGUCGGAUGUGAAAGCCCUCGGCUUAACUGAGGAAGUGCAUUCGAAACUGGGUAGCUAGAGUACUAAAGAGGGUCGCGGAAUUCCCGGUGUAGAGGUGAAAUUCGUAGAUAUCGAGAGGAACACCUGCGGCGAAGGCGGGUUGCUGGGCCGACACUGACGCUGAUGCGCGAAAGCCAGGGGAGCGAACGGG